GGGUUGUGAGGUUAAGCGACUAAGCGUACACGGUGGAUGCCCUGGCAGUCAGAGGCGAUGAAGGACGUGCUAAUCUGCGAUAAGCGUCGGUAAGGUGAUAUGAACCGUUAUAACCGGCGAUUUCCGAAUGGGGAAACCCAGUGUGAUUCGUCACACUAUCAUUAACUGAAUCCAUAGGUUAAUGAGGCGAACCGGGGGAACUGAAACAUCUAAGUACCCCGAGGAAAAGAAAUCAACCGAGAUUCCCCCAGUAGCGGCGAGCGAACGGGGAGCAGCCCAGAGCCUGAAUCAGUGUGUGUGUUAGUGGAAGCGUCUGGAAAGGCGCGCGAUACAGGGUGACAGCCCCGUACACAAAAAUGCACAUACUGUGAGCUCGAUGAGUAGGGCGGGACACGUGGUAUCCUGUCUGAAUAUGGGGGGACCAUCCUCCAAGGCUAAAUACUCCUGACUGACCGAUAGUGAACCAGUACCGUGAGGGAAAGGCGAAAAGAACCCCGGCGAGGGGAGUGAAAAAGAACCUGAAACCGUGUACGUACAAGCAGUGGGAGCCUUGAUUUAUCAGGGUGACUGCGUACCUUUUGUAUAAUGGGUCAGCGACUUAUAUUCUGUAGCAAGGUUAACCGAAUAGGGGAGCCGAAGGGAAACCGAGUCUUAACUGGGCGUUAAGUUGCAGGGUAUAGACCCGAAACCCGGUGAUCUAGCCAUGGGCAGGUUGAAGGUUGGGUAACACUAACUGGAGGACCGAACCGACUAAUGUUGAAAAAUUAGCGGAUGACUUGUGGCUGGGGGUGAAAGGCCAAUCAAACCGGGAGAUAGCUGGUUCUCCCCGAAAGCUAUUUAGGUAGCGCCUCGUGAAUUCAUCUCCGGGGGUAGAGCACUGUUUCGGCAAGGGGGUCAUCCCGACUUACCAACCCGAUGCAAACUGCGAAUACCGGAGAAUGUUAUCACGGGAGACACACGGCGGGUGCUAACGUCCGUCGUGAAGAGGGAAACAACCCAGACCGCCAGCUAAGGUCCCAAAGUCAUGGUUAAGUGGGAAACGAUGUGGGAAGGCCCAGACAGCCAGGAUGUUGGCUUAGAAGCAGCCAUCAUUUAAAGAAAGCGUAAUAGCUCACUGGUCGAGUCGGCCUGCGCGGAAGAUGUAACGGGGCUAAACCAUGCACCGAAGCUGCGGCAGCGACACUAUGUGUUGUUGGGUAGGGGAGCGUUCUGUAAGCCUGUGAAGGUGUGCUGUGAGGCAUGCUGGAGGUAUCAGAAGUGCGAAUGCUGACAUAAGUAACGAUAAAGCGGGUGAAAAGCCCGCUCGCCGGAAGACCAAGGGUUCCUGUCCAACGUUAAUCGGGGCAGGGUGAGUCGACCCCUAAGGCGAGGCCGAAAGGCGUAGUCGAUGGGAAACAGGUUAAUAUUCCUGUACUUGGUGUUACUGCGAAGGGGGGACGGAGAAGGCUAUGUUGGCCGGGCGACGGUUGUCCCGGUUUAAGCGUGUAGGCUGGUUUUCCAGGCAAAUCCGGAAAAUCAAGGCUGAGGCGUGAUGACGAGGCACUACGGUGCUGAAGCAACAAAUGCCCUGCUUCCAGGAAAAGCCUCUAAGCAUCAGGUAACAUCAAAUCGUACCCCAAACCGACACAGGUGGUCAGGUAGAGAAUACCAAGGCGCUUGAGAGAACUCGGGUGAAGGAACUAGGCAAAAUGGUGCCGUAACUUCGGGAGAAGGCACGCUGAUAUGUAGGUGAAGCGACUUGCUCGUGGAGCUGAAAUCAGUCGAAGAUACCAGCUGGCUGCAACUGUUUAUUAAAAACACAGCACUGUGCAAACACGAAAGUGGACGUAUACGGUGUGACGCCUGCCCGGUGCCGGAAGGUUAAUUGAUGGGGUCAGCCGCAAGGCGAAGCUCUUGAUCGAAGCCCCGGUAAACGGCGGCCGUAACUAUAACGGUCCUAAGGUAGCGAAAUUCCUUGUCGGGUAAGUUCCGACCUGCACGAAUGGCGUAAUGAUGGCCAGGCUGUCUCCACCCGAGACUCAGUGAAAUUGAACUCGCUGUGAAGAUGCAGUGUACCCGCGGCAAGACGGAAAGACCCCGUGAACCUUUACUAUAGCUUGACACUGAACAUUGAGCCUUGAUGUGUAGGAUAGGUGGGAGGCUUUGAAGCGUGGACGCCAGUCUGCGUGGAGCCGACCUUGAAAUACCACCCUU
rnacentral:rRNA from 1 species